rnacentral:rRNA from 1 species
UACGUAGGGUGCGAGCGUUGUCCGGAUUUAUUGGGCGUAAAGAGCUCGUAGGCGGUUCGUCACGUCGGCUGUGAAAACCUGAGGCUCAACCUCAGGCCUGCAGUCGAUACGGGCGGACUUGAGUACUGCAGGGGAGACUGGAAUUCCUGGUGUAGCGGUGAAAUGCGCAGAUAUCAGGAGGAACACCGGUGGCGAAGGCGGGUCUCUGGGCAGGAACUGACGCUGAGGAGCGAAAGCGUGGGGAGCGAACAGG